GGGGAGCCUUGCGAAGCAGGCUGCCGAGAAAAGCCCCGGUGGGGAGUUCAUCGUGUGACCGUACCGUAAACCGACACAGGUAGGCGAGGCGAGUAGCCUAAGGUGCGCGAGUGAUCUGUGGAGAAGGAACUCGGCAAAAUGUCCCCGUAACUUCGGGAGAAGGGGAGCCCC
rnacentral:rRNA from 1 species